UGGGCUCAACACUGGUCGGACAGAAUUAAGACUACAGGAUGACCUAGUCACAGUCUGCAUUGAUGGCAGAUCCGAUCUGAGGGGUCAGCAAUGCAUCACCCAGGAUGGCUGGGCCCAGCUUCUAACCUAAAUGUCUCUGCAUGUGGCUUGUAGGAGCUUGUUGGGUUUUACUGCUUGGUGCAGGUGGCAGUGAGCUUGCAGGGAAAAGGUUAGUCAUGAUAAGCUCCUGAAAGUGAGAUUGGCGAUGUCGAGCCGCAAGCAACCUUGGUAUCAUGAGAGAUGAGUGUAAAAGUAAGGAGGGCUUUGGAUCUACCCGCAGGCGGACUGUUCGGCACC
rnacentral:lncRNA from 1 species